rnacentral:rRNA from 1 species
GGCUCAGGAUGAACGCUGGCGGCGUGCCUAAUACAUGCAAGUCGAGCGAAUUGACAGAGAUGCUUGCAUCUCUCGAUUUUAGCGGCGGACGGGUGAGUAACACGUGGGUAACCUACCUAUAAGACUGGGAUAACUUCGGGAAACCGGAGCUAAUACCGGAUAAUAUUUAGCUUCGCAUGAAGCAAUAGUGAAAGACGGUUUUGCUGUCACUUAUAGAUGGACCUGCGGUGUAUUAGCUAGUUGGUGAGGUAAUGGCUCACCAAGGCAACGAUACAUAGCCGACCUGAGAGGGUGAUCGGCCACACUGGGACUGAGACACGGCCCAGACUCCUACGGGAGGCAGCAGUAGGGAAUCUUCCGCAAUGGACGAAAGUCUGACGGAGCAACGCCGCGUGAGUGAAGAAGGUUUUCGGAUCGUAAAACUCUGUUGUAAGGGAAGAACAAGUACGUUAGUAACUGAACGUACCUGACGGU